GAUAUCAAUCAAGUGAAGCAGCUAUCACAGGGUCUGGAACAUAUUAGGUUCUGUCAAUAGAAGAUACUAAAGAAAGAAAGCCAGGAGAAGAAAAGGGACUUCUUUCUUCAAGGUCUAAGCUGUUCUAAUAGCAUUAUUCUGGGAAUGGCAUCUUCCACUCCUCCUAGUACAAAGAACCUGCUUCCUCAUACCCCGUCAAGGAACUGCAGCAUCCAGGUGAUGGCCACAGUGGCAGAACCUAGGAAGCCAAGAAGAAACCAGAGAAUGGAGACACAUGGCAGCAAUGGCAAGUCAUCAGACCCAGGAUUUCCCAAAGAACACUGGUCCAGGAAGAUGCUCUGUGAAAAAGUGUUCCCUGGUCGGAGAAAUUUGUGAAACACUUUGCAUAAUACUUAAAAGAAUGUAUGGCACAUCAAAGGUAAUAUGCAAUAAAAGAAUUCAUU
rnacentral:lncRNA from 1 species